rnacentral:lncRNA from 1 species
AGGGUACGCAGCAUAGGCAGAGGCCCUGGUGGGAGCUGGCUGGCGAGCCUACGUGGUUUGGACGUGUGUCUGUCGAGCUGCACAUCUCCCUGACGCCAGUGCUGGCAGUCCCGGGACUCCUCAGCAACGACUUUUGUGCUUGCAGGCUGAGACGUGGUAGCAGAGGGUAUAGAUUCAUCAUUUCCCACGUGGGGCUCCAUUCCACCGUCUUUCCGUCCGAUUUGGUUACCCUAAAGAAGACACUGCCUAGUAUACAUGUUAAACGGGAAGGGCCAGAUGUUCUCCUAACGGCAGGAAGAAGACAUGCCUGUGUCUCUCCAGAAAAUGAACAAGGUCCCAGAUGGCUCCCAAUCUGUUGAGUCCAACCGGGAUAGCAUCCCACAGACCACCUGACAAACGAAGUAUCUGAAGGGAGCAGACAAGCCCAUCAAAAGGAGAUGCCCCAGGAGAAAGAAUAAGCCGGUGCUUUGGGAAGACAACAAGAACACACUGACCCAAAUUGAUGCUGUUACGUUUGUUGACGGCAUUGCAUGCUAACUCUUAGCCUGUCCAUGCAGAAUGCAAACGCCUAUCGUCAGAGGGGAGGAAAGGCUCACCUUUGAUAGGAGGCUGCAUGAUGCUGUUUUGCCAUGCCAAAGAUUCUUCUUAUUACCAGUCCCAGGAAUUACAAGCCCCUGGACUACAGUGAGGUCUCAAAGAUGCCCUACAGGAUUAGGAAAACUACUAAUUUGAUGGCAAAAAUAUUAGUGGAAAUCAACCAAGAGACCGGCAGAUUGGGAAGCACAGCUCUACAAAAGCUACUCUAGAGCGUUAGUCAAGCACAAUCUUGGUUGUCAAUGUCAUAUGUCUCUUACAAUCGAUGGUCAAAUUAAAUGGUAUGCAUGAAGAGAUAAACAAAAUCUCGAAGGUGACCUUUGAAUGUCCACCAUGGUUAACAUAGUUUCCCCCUUUCCUUGGCCUUUUGUUAGUAUGCUGGCUGGUUUUGUGUGCCAACUUAACACAACCUGGAGUUAUCACAGAGAAAGGAGCCUCCCUCGAGGAAAUGCCUCCAUGAGAUCCUGCUGUAAGCAUUUUCUCAAUUAGUGAUCAAGGGUGUGAGGGCCCAUGGUGGGUGGUGCCAUCCCUGGGUUGGUGGUCCUGGGUUCUAUAAGAAAGCAAGCUGAGCAAGGCAGGGGAAGAAAGCCAGUGAAGAACAUCCCUCCAUGGCCUCUGCAUCAGCUCCUGCUUCCUGACCUGCUUGAGUUCCAGUCCUGACUUCCUUGGUGAUGAACAGCAUUGUGGAAAUGUAAGCUGAAUAAACCCUUUUUUCCCCAACU